UUAAGCUUAGAAUCCAAAAGGCGACUGAUACUGUCGAGUGUGAGUGGCUCUGAUGUCGUGCUGUUGCUGUCAAUUGUAGCAUCUAGGUUCAAAUUGUCACACGACAUAUUCAUUGGUUCUGUAGGAACUUGUGUAGACCUCACCGGAGUAUUACAAUUCGAGCCAGUACGGCGUGUCACAUUGUUACAAGAAGGACAAAUCCAGGAAGAGAGGUAUUCUUUAGAGAGCUUAGCAAACUGUGCAUUGUUUAUAUUCAGGCACAUGUGAUGAUAUUUUAACUUGCACAAGCUACAUUGCAAAAAUGUUUUUGGCUCAACAUGUUUCCUGCAAGCGUCACAACAGCGAUCCAUAUCGUCCCCCAAAAUUUCACUAUACCAUAUAAUAUUAACAAAAACAAUAUUGUUGUUUAUUUAAAUAUUGUUCAUUUAAGCAAUUAUUUAUCUUUUAUUCAUCCCUUUGCAAAUAAAUUACAAUGAAAUAUAAAUAAAAAGUAAUACAAAUUUAAACAACUACAACUACCAAACAAAUUAAUUAAUACAUUUCAAAUACAUAUCAAUAGUAACACUAAUUACUUAUAUAAUUAUAUAAAAAAAAUUGUGUCUGUAAAAAAAAAUAUAUUGCAUAAACAAAAAAAAAAAAAUAUUGAAGAAAAAAAAAUAUAUGAAAAAAAAAAAAAAAAAAAAAAAAAAAAAAAAAAAAAAAAAAAAAAAAAA
rnacentral:misc_RNA from 1 species